AAGGAGAGGAGGUGAAGAGGUGAAGGAGAGGAGGUGAUGAGGAGGUGAAGAGGAGGUGAAGAAGAGGUGAAGAGGAGGUGAAGAGGAGGUGAAGAGGUGAAGGAGAGGAGGUGAUGAGGAGGUGAAGAGGAGGUGAAGAAGAGGUGAAGGAGAGG